CAAACCACAGGAGAUGUGUGAAGACUGCUUGU
rnacentral:piRNA from 1 species